rnacentral:lncRNA from 1 species
UCAUGAUGUUAGAAAUUUCUGGGAUUCAGUUUCCUGAAAUGAAAUGGUUCAUGAAUGCCAUUAAAGUGCUUCUGGGAGCUGAACCUGCCUUUGAAUGGAGCCUUUUCCUGUGGAAACAUGGGUGCCCAUGCACUAGUAUGCAGAAAACAUUGAGAAGAUUCCCACAGAAGACAGUGCAAACCACUGUGGUCUGAGUCAUCCAUUUCCCAGCUGCUUCAGACAGAUGGGAUCUAAUUAAACUUAAGAGCUUCUGCACAGUGAAAGAAACAAUCAUUAGAGUGAACCGGCAACCAACAGAAUGGGUAAAACAUUUUUGCAAGCUAUCAAUCUGACAAAGGGCUAAUAUCCAGAAUCUACAAAGAACUAAAACAGAUUUUCAAGAAAAAAACAAACAACUCCAUCAAAAAUUGGGCAAAGGAUAUGAACAGGCACUUUUCAAAAGAAGACAUUGAUGCAGCCAACAAACAUGAGAAAAUGCUCAUUAUCACUGGUCAUUAGGGAAAUGCAAAUCAAAACCACACUGAGAUACCAUCUCAUGCCAGUUAGAAAUGCAUUCAUUCGGGUGGAUCAUGAGGUCAAAAGAUCGAGAUCAUCCUGGUCAACAUGGUGAAACCCUGUCUUUACUAAAAAUACAAAAAAUUAGCUGGGCAUGGUGGCACGUGCCUGUAAUCCCAGCUACUCAGGAGGCUGAGGCAGGAGAAUUGCCUGAACCCAGGAGGCGGAGGUUGCCAUGAGCCGAUAUCGUGCCAUUGCACUCCAGCCUGGGUAACAAGAGUGAAACUCUUGUCUAAAAAAAAAAAAAAAAAUGCAUUCAUUAAAAAUAUCUGGAGACAACAGGUGCUGGAGAGGAUGUGGAAAAACAGGAACACUUUUACACUGUUGGUUGGAGUGUAAAUCAGUGCAACCAUUGUGGAAGGCAGAGUGGUGAUUCCUCAAGGAUCUAGAAAUAGAAAUACCAUUUGACCCAGCAAUCCCAUUACUGGGUAUAUACCCAAAGGAUUAUAAAUUGUUCUAUUGUAAAGACACAUGGAUACAUAUGUUCAUUGCAGCACUGUUUACAAUAACAAAGACUUGGAACCAACCCAAAUGCUCAUCAAGGAUAGACUGGAUAAAGAAAAUGUGGCAUAUUUAUACCAUGGAAUACUAUGCAGCCAUAAAGAAAGAUGAGUUCAUGUCCUUUGCAGAGACAUAGAUGAAUCUGGAAACCACCAUUCUCAGCAAACUGACAAAAGAACAGAAAACCAAACACUGCUUGAGUCCUGUAGCUCAAUACCAGCCUGUGCAACAUAGUGAAACCCCCAUCUCUGCAGAAUAACAACAAAACAAUUAGCCUGGUGUGGUGAUACAUGGCUGUGGUCCCAGCUACUUGGGAAGCUGAGGUGGGAAUAUUGCCUAAGCCUGGGAGGUUGAGGUGGCAGUGAGCUGUGUUUGCACCAUAGCACUCCAGUCUGGGUGACACAGUAUGACCUUGUUCCUCCCAAACGUAAAUAAAUAAAAAACUAAAAAAAUAGAAUAAACGUGGCAUCAG